AGUAAAAGUCGUAACAAGGUCUCCGUUGGUGAACCAGCGGAGGGAUCAUUAUCGAGUUAUACAACUCCCAAACCCUAUGUGAACUUACCACUUGUUGCUUCGGCGCGCGCUUCGGCGCCGCCGAGGACACUUAAACUCUUUGUUUUUAUAAGCAUUUCUGAGUGGCCGAAAGGCAAAAAUACAAAUGAAUCAAAACUUUCAACAACGGAUCUCUUGGUUCUGGCAUCGAUGAAGAACGCAGCGAAAUGCGAUAAGUAAUGUGAAUUGCAGAAUUCAGUGAAUCAUCGAAUCUUUGAACGCACAUUGCGCCCGCCAGCAUUCUGGCGGGCAUGCCUGUUCGAGCGUCAUUUCAACCCUCGAGCCCGACUCUUCGGAGGACGGCUCGGCGUUGGGGGACGGCAGACUCCCCCCGGCAUCUCGCCGGGGACGCCGCCCCCGAAAUUUAGUGGCGGCCCUCCGAGGCGACCUCUGCGUAGUAACUUGUUCUCGCACCGGAAAGCUCAGAGCGGCCACGCCGUAAAACCCCAACUUUUUUUAGGUUGACCUCGAAUCAGGUAGGACUACCCGCUGAACUUAAGCAUAUCAAUAG
rnacentral:rRNA from 1 species